CCUACGGGGGGCAGCAGUGAGGAAUAUUGGUCAAUGGACGAGAGUCUGAACCAGCCAAGUAGCGUGAAGGAUGACUGCCCUAUGGGUUGUAAACUUCUUUUAUAUGGGAAUAAAAUGUGCCACGUGUGGGAUUUUGUAUGUACCAUAUGAAUAAGGAUCGGCUAACUCCGUGCCAGCAGCCGCGGUAAUACGGAGGAUCCGUGCGGUAUCCGGAUUUAUUGGGGUUAAAGGGAGCGUAGGUGGAUUGUUAAGGAAGUGGUGAAAGUUUGCGGCUCAACCGUAAAAUUGCAGUUGAAACUGGCAGUCUUGAGUACAGUAGAGGUGGGCGGAAUUCGUGGUGUAGCGGU
rnacentral:rRNA from 1 species